UUUAAUCUUAGAUUUUAUAUUCAAAUGGUUGAUAACAAAUGGCAAGGACUGUGUCAGAUUUAAUAAUAGUCAUUGAUUAAAUUUUAAUCUAACGGUGGAGAAUCAAUUUCAACCUCUUUCUUUUGUCCUUUUAUGUGUACUGAGAAACGAUCCAUAAACUUGUUUUCUUCACAUUUUUUUCAGAUUCAGAUCUCUAUCUUCUCAUUACACGUUUCUCUUUUCUUCUUUCUCUUCUCUACGUUUCUUCUCUGUCUACUGAUUUGUUUAUUUUUUUCUCUGUUUUAUUUAAUGAAUCUCGUCUUCUUUCUAUCUCAUCUUCUUCUGUGUCUCUGCUGAAGCUUGUCGUGUGCCGUACUCGUUCUCACCACUCUAGUUCAUCACCUCUCUUCUCAAAAUUCAAGAUUAAAGGUGUGGAGGAAGAAGAAAAGCUCGACGGUGGUGGGAUUUGAGAAAAGCGGAGCUGGAUGGUGGAUGCAACAUGGCCACGUGGGAAGAACCGUAAAAAUGGAUCGAAGCGCGUUAGAGAUGCUGGAGACUGGGCCGUCCAAAAAUGGUGGGACACGUGUUGGCUUCUCAAGACUCGAAUUAGUGAUGUGUCCACCUAUGUGGAUAGCAUAUGGGAGAAGCAAACCCAACUUUAUAUAUAAGGAUAUUCUCUCGCAUUUAAAAGAAUAGUUAGCAAAAUGAGUUCAUAGAGCUAUGUAAGAGCAGCUUUAAUGGUAAAAAUCUGCUUGAAUUUCUUAUAUAUAUAUAUUAAUUUUAAAAUAAAAUAUAGUUAAAUAA